rnacentral:lncRNA from 1 species
ACAGAUAAGCAACUUGUCUGAUAUCAUUUGCUGCAAUGUCUGAUAUUCAAGGUUCCUGUCGUAUACAAAAGCCUUCCGUGACCGUUCCAUUUACACUUCUCCUAGGACUUGUGAGAGUCGGAGCUGGUCUGCUGGCAAUGAACUUCUCGGCUGCUCCAGUUGGUCACUGUGGCUCUUUUGCUCCUGUGGAUAGAUCCCCAGCCUGCAGAUGCUGAAAACCAGACUGGAUUUGUCGCUCAGAGCACACCUCCCUCCUCCCACGCACGUGGUCUCCACCGCACAUGUGCGGGUACAGAUGGGAACCGUCUCUGCAAACAAACUGAAGAUGAUUCAAGAGUCAUUCUAAUGAGCAGUGAAUGUGGCCUGAUUACUGCAUUCGCAAAAAACCUUAUUUUUUUUCCCCCCCCAACAUUGCAAAGCUUGGCCCAGGGCCUCCUCAUAGGCUUACAAAUUUGCUGAAGUCUUCUUAGAGUCUUUCCUGAAGUCUAAGUGUGAUGAGAGCAGAGGUACCUCCGUUUCAUCACUGCAUCCUGGGCACCUAGUGGACCUGGCAAGGUGCAGCCCUAUGAGAACUCGGAGGAGUGCUGUCUGCCUCUGCUUCAUUAAUUCCGGAGAGACCUUCUCUGCUAGAAUGUUCCAAGGCAUCCUGCCCAGGGACAACUGAGAAGGGCAAGAAGCAUGAUAAUAAGGGAACCCAAGACUUCUUUUUUAACUACCUAAGAAUGCUGCUGGUGGUUACAGAGAAAACAAUCCUGACAUGGGUUUUUAUUAAUCCUCUGCCCGUGCAUUUGGGACCAGGAUAGAGAGGCUAAAAUUCAAGCCAGACUGCGCUGGCUCCCUUCGGAAACGGCUGGAUCUAAUCUUCAGAAAUAACAGCGCGCCAGUUUCUUUGUUUAUUUUCCAGAGUAAAAUACUAAUCCAUGUAAAUGAAUCACUGAACUAGGUCUGUUAGACAACUUCUUAUUUUCUUAAUGACUCCCAUUUUCUGGAAACCCCAGGGCAUGUUUCUAAGGAUGUUAAUCAUCUAGAUGCUUCCCCGUGUAUUUGAUGGUGGAUCCGUACUAUUUGUAAUUCUCUUAAUGGUUCUUAUGCUCGCCUGCUUCUCGCUCUUUGAAACUUGAUUUCCUGUUUAUCUGACCGAUUCUUAGCAAUCUUUCAAGAUGCGCCACAAAACAAAUGUUUUGUUUUCGUUUUUUCUUUUUCUUUUCAUUUCUAAUUUCAAGAUUAUUUUUGAAAUGGGAACAUUUAUUUCCAACUCAUAGGCGUUGGCGAGGUUCCUACUCUUUGGUGAAAUAAGAAGUCUGAACUUAAUUUUUUAAAUUGAUGGAUAACACACAUGCAGUAAACUACAGAGCAAUUAUCUUAAGUAGAGCUUGAUAAUAUUUUAUAUACAUCUGUGUAACAACUGUACAGAUUAAGAUGAAGAGUGUUUCUAGGAUCCAUGAAGAUUCUUUUCUGUUCCUUCAUUAUCAAUACCCUACCCCUGACGUCAGCACUUCUGUCAUCACCAAUUACAUUUUCCUAUUCUUAAACUUCAUAUAAAUGCAGGAUGCAAUUUUGGCGGGGAUUGCCUUCUUUUGCUCAGAGAAGUGUUUUUUAGAUUCAUCCAUAUUACAUGGGCUUCAGUGGUUUUUUUUAAAUCGCUAUAUAGUAGUUCAUUAUUUGACUAUAGCACAAUUUAUGUGUGUAUUCUUCUGCUGAUAAUUGUUUGCUCCCAGCUUUAACAAUUGUAAAUAAAUCUGCUGCAAAUAAUCUUGUCCGUAUUUUUUGGUGGACAAAUGUGCUUAACUUCUCUUGAGGAUAAAACUGUAAGUGGAAUUGGUGAUUUGUAGGGUAGGUCUAUGUUUAGGUUCAGUAGAUACGACCCAAUAGUUAUCUAAGGUGUUUGCACCAAUUUAUAUUCCUAAUAUUUGAGAGUUCCACCCAUAUUUAUAUCCUGAGCAAAACUUAGUACUACAGUAUGUUUUGCUAAUUUUAUUUUCAUUUGCCUGUUAGAAACUUGAGUGUCCAAUUUUGCGAAGUGUCCAAUUUUGCAAAGUGACUGUUCAGCUCUUGCCGCUUUUAAAAAUAGGAUUAUUUGACUUUUUCUUGGGCACAUCAUUCGAACAGACACUUCCCAAAAGAAGUUUCACAGCUCCAACAAGCUCUUGAGAAUGGGGUCUUUUCUUUAAUCAACCUCAAAAACCAAAACAAAGAUAAGGUCUGUCUUUUAAAAAAUUAUUAUUUUUAAAUAUUGCACAAUCAUCUAUAGCGCUGAAAUAGCAUCAUUUGUCCAGCCACUCUCCCCUCAUGCUGGGCAUGCAGUUAUGCCCAUUGUUGGGACUUGCAUGUGGUUGGACCAGGGAGUCUUCUGGGAGUGGCUAUAAGGGAAGUGAGCUCCUGGGACAGCUGGAGGGCGUUGUUGUUUUCUCCUGUCCUUCCCUAAGAUGAAUCUGCAGGAGUUCAAGACUAUGAACACCUUUAGGAACUCUUGCUACUUUUGACAUAGUUUUCCAAAGACCAGCAAAAUGAUAGAUAUGCACAUGCUUUGAUUAUUAGUAAUACACGAUCCCCUUGAGCACUCUUGGUAGGAAUGUAAAGCGGUGCACCAUUAGGGAAGACAGUAGGGAGUUUCCUCAAAAAAAGAAAGAAGGAAAGAAAAUAGAGCUAUCAUAUGAUCCAGCAAUCCCAUUUCUGGGUGUUUACCCUUAAGAAUUGGAAUCAAGAUCUCCAGCACUCUUAUGUUCAUUGCAGCAUCAUGCACCAUAGCCCAGGUGUGGAAACAACCUAAAUGUCCAACAAGAACAUUGUCCAACAGCAUGAUGCUGUAAGGUCUCUCUUGAAUAGGUCUUUGCAUUGGCAUUGGCCUUGCUCUCUCUUUAGCAGCCUUGCUAUUUAAAUCCUUUUGGAGCUAGAGGUACAGCUGGAGAACAGGCGGGCCUGAGCAGGUCUCCACCCAAUUCUUAGAUUCUAGAGAAUUCUCACCUAGCCCUUCUCUGCUCUGCAAAGGUGAUGACAUCCUCUAAUGCAAUUGUGGUUUUCCUGGUACUUGGAACUGCUAUAAAUUACGAUGUAAAACUGCCAUUUUCAGGAGACAGGGUUCUACUUCCUUCCUCCUAUUUAUAGGGGCUUCUUUUCUUUUUCUUUUUUUCUUUUUAGGGCCCCACCUGUGGCAUAGGAAGUUCCUGGGCUAGGGGUUGAAUUGGAGCUGCAGCUGCCGGCACACACCAUGGCCAUAGCAGCGCCAGAUCCAAGCUGCAGCAACACUGGAUCCUUAACCCAAUGAGCGAGGCCAGGGAUCGAACCUGUGUCCUCAUGGAUACUAGCCAAGUUCUUAACCCACUGAGCCACAGCAGGAACGCCUAUUGGGGUUUCUUUAAUAAUUAGGCAGAAGAAAUAUUAUUCUGACAGUGGCAUUCCUUUGCUUGAAAGAAACACUUGGGCUAGUGGUUAGUAUAGAAGGAGGGGUGGUGUGUGGUCAAGAUCUGAAAAUCAAAGAAGGUUCACAUGAGGCCAAGGGAAGAGUUGCUUGGCUCUGAAGAGCAGGCAAGGGGAUCAGAAGAGAGAGGAGGGCUCCUGAGCUCUUUGGAGUUUUUCAAUAGCCCUUUAAGGGCGUGAUACCCACUGGUGCAUUCAGCAGUGCUCAUGAUUGUUCAUCUAUAUUUGGCGCCACUUCCUGUGGGAGGAUUAAAUAUCCCUGCACUCUCAGAACUCAGGCUUGGCCAUGGGACUUGCAUUGGUCAAUAAACUGUGAGUGAAAUUGAUGUGCGUCAUCUUCCAAGCAAAAGCUUUGAGUCAGUGAGCUGUUCCCUCUUCCGGGAAGCCUGGCUGUGUUCCAGACGGCAGAUGCUCUGUCAGCCUCCGUCCACAAAGAGAAGAUGGGAACAGAGCCCCCGCCCGCUGUGAUGAACAGGUAGGGUGAAGAGAUAGUACAACUUUAUUAUUGAAAGCCAUCAAGAGUUGGGGGUCAUUUGCUAAUUUAGUCUUACCUGAUUGAUUCAGCUCUGUUCUAUUUUAUACAUUCUCUUUGAUUCUCUAUGCCUCCAACCAAGCACAUCUCUAGCAAAGUCUGCUCUGCUUGCCAGUAUUUUGUAUGAGUGAUUUGGGUUGGUGAACCGAGGCAGACAUCGCACUUUGGACCUGGGCUGAUGCAUUGCUGAGAUGACACAGGCUGAGCCAGAAGGAAAAGGAUCAUUUAGAGCAUGCUAACAGCCCUGGGAUGCACAGACAUGUUGCUUCCUGCCGCCAUCCUUCAGGCCGAUGUUUUGGGCAGAAGGCCAAGGCCAAGUUCACGUCACAACAUUGAAGGUCACAGUGCUUGCUUUGCUGAUGCGAUGGCCUCAUUCACAAAUUCCUCCCAGGGGCUGGAGAGGUGAAUAGUGGGGGAAGACCUUGCCCUCCCACUGCUGGGGAGGGGGCCAGCCUGCUCCCAGUAGAGGUUUUAGCAUAAAUGAUGGAAAUAAAAAAGCU